rnacentral:rRNA from 1 species
UACGUAGGGUGCGAGCGUUAAUCGGAAUUACUGGGCGUAAAGCGUGCGCAGGCGGUUUUGUAAGCCAGGUGUGAAAUCCCCGGGCUCAACCUGGGAAUGGCAUUUGGGACUGCAAGGCUGGAGUGCGGCAGAGGAGACUGGAAUUCCUGGUGUAGCAGUGAAAUGCGUAGAUAUCAGGAGGAAUACCGAUGGCGAAGGCGGCAUCCUGGCCCUGACCUGACGCUCAGGGGCGAAAGCGUGGGGAGCAAACCGG